rnacentral:rRNA from 1 species
UGGGGAAUAUUGGACAAUGGGCGAAAGCCUGAUCCAGCCAUGCCGCGUGUGUGAAGAAGGUCUUCGGAUUGUAAAGCACUUUAAGCGAGGAGGAGGCUACUUUAGUUAAUACCUAGAGAUAGUGGACGUUACUCGCAGAAUAAGCACCGGCUAACUCUGUGCCAGCAGCCGCGGUAAUACAGAGGGUGCAAGCGUUAAUCGGAUUUACUGGGCGUAAAGCGCGCGUAGGCGGCUAAUUAAGUCAAAUGUGAAAUCCCCGAGCUUAACUUGGGAAUUGCAUUCGAUACUGGUUAGCUAGAGUGUGGGAGAGGAUGGUAGAAUUCCAGGUGUAGCGGUGAAAUGCGUAGAUAUAGGAAGGAACACCAGUGGCGAAGGCGACCACCUGGGCUCAUACUGACACUGAUGUGCGAAAGCGUGGGGAGCAAACAGG